rnacentral:rRNA from 1 species
UACAGAGGUCCCGAGCGUUGUUCGGAUUCACUGGGCGUAAAGGGUGCGUAGGUGGUGAGGUAAGUCGGAUGUGAAAUCUCCGGGCUUAACCCGGAAAUGGCAUUGGAAACUACCUUGCUAGAGGAUUUGAGGGGGGAUUGGAAUUCCUGGUGUAGCGGUGGAAUGCGCAGAUAUCAGGAGGAACACCAAUGGCGAAGGCAGAUCUCUGGGCCGUAACUGACGCUGAGGAGCGAAAGCAUGGGGAGCGAACAGG